GAUGAAGAACGUAGCGAAAUGCGAUACGUAAUGUGAAUUGCAGAAUUCAGUGAAUCAUCGAAUCUUUGAACGCAUAUUGCGCUCUCUGGUAUUCCGGAGAGCAUGCUUGUUUGAGUAUCAGUAAACACCUCAACUCCCCUUUCUUUUUUUGAAAUGGGAGCUGGACUUGAGUGAUCCCAACGCUUUUCUCACCGAAAAGUGGCGGGUUACUUGAAAUGCAGGUGCAGCUGGACUUUUCUCUGAGCUAAAAGCAUAUCUAUUUAGUCUGCCUAAAAAACAGAUUAUUACCUUUGCUGCAGCUAACAUAAAGGAGACUAGUUCUUGUGCUGACUGAUGCAGGAUUCACAGAGACAGCUUCGGCUGGCCUUUGUAAACUCGAUCUCAAAUCAAGUAAGACUACCCGCUGAACUUAAGCAUAUCAAUAAGCGGAGGA
rnacentral:misc_RNA from 1 species